AACACACAGUUGAUUUCCUACAACUUUCUCUUGGAUCUCUACAACAGAAGCAUUUAAACAUGACAGGGAAAAGAGAGAAAAUCUAGAAAUCAUAACAAAUCUUUCAGAAUUGGCAAACAUAACAUGGGGGAACUUCAGCCCUACUCUUCCAAUGACCUUCGAUAUCAAGAAAAUUUGAAAGAUUUAUGAAGUACAUCUGUUUUGUUAUUGUCAACAACUGUUGAAGAAUAUACCUAACAGUCUGGACUGUGAGCAGACACUGGUGGCUGUGCAAUCUGAUAUGGUCAUUUUCCCUCAUGAGUAUUUUCCUGAUUAGGAUAUAUUGUAUGUUCCUUCUUUGGCAUAAUCCCAACUAACCCGCACUACUGGUCUGCUAUCCAGCACAGUCAAAAUCAAGCACAGAAAAUGUAUCAAAUGGAAAUAGAGUUCUUUUACUUGGAGAAGUGAUUUGGACCCCAGUACUGUGAAUUACUUCCCACUGUAAUCAAAAAGGCACCACCUGGUUUUGUGGUCUGAAUGCUGGUGCAGCAUGGCUCACCAUAGCCACCCUGUCACCU